rnacentral:rRNA from 1 species
ACACGACUACAUUAGAUACCCCGGUAGUCCUAGCCGUAAACGAUACUCGCUAGGUGUCGGCCACGGUGCGACCGUUGUCGGUGCCGUAGGGAAGCCGUGAAGCGAGCCACCUGGGAGUACGUCCGCAAGGAUGAAACUUAAAGGAAUUGGCGGGGGAGCACCGCAACGGGAGGAGCGUGCGGUUUAAUUGGAUUCAACACCGUAAAACUCACCAGGGAAGACUGUUACAUGAAGGCCGAGAUGAAGACUCUGCUAGAUUUUCAG